UCACAGGCUGUUUUAAAAGCCACUAAUAACAUAUAUACAUAAUCUU
rfam:Trichobilharzia regenti genome assembly, scaffold: TRE_scaffold0000059